rnacentral:rRNA from 1 species
UACGGAGGGUGCAAGCGUUGCUCGGAAUUACUGGGCGUAAAGGGCGUGUAGGCGGUUUCGUAUGUCUGGCGUGAAAGCCCCGGGCUCACCUCGGGAAGUGCGUCGGAAACUGCGAGACUAGAGUCCCGGAGAGGGAGGUGGAAUUCCAGGUGUAGCGGUGAAAUGCGUAGAUAUCUGGAGGAACAUCAGUGGCGAAGGCGACACCCUGGACUCAUACUGACACUGAGGUGCGAAAGCUGGGGAGC